GUCUCAGUGGGCUGAAGCCGUCCCGUAGAGCCCAGCGGCCCCAUCUCAGCCCUGCAAUUAGAGUUCAUUAUGGGCCGUACAAACGUGGAGCUCGCGCUGAGACGAGCCUCUGCACCUUCAUCACCUUCGUCACAGCGGGACAGCCGUGCUUUGCUUACUCUGUGCUUUUAGUGUGGAUCCGAACUGUGUGAAAAGUGUGAUGCCAGCAUUAUACUGACUGUGAGAGGAACAAAUGUGCUAACAUUUAGAGAUGAUACGUCAGCAGUCCCGUAACGGCUGAGAGGAUCACAGACGCACCAGAGACCUAAUCAAGUCUAAAUCUCAUCUUGGAUGCGGGGAACAGUCUCAGUUUUGUAAAGGGCCGCAGUGAAUCAAACAUUCACUAAGGGCCUCACAGACGGCCGACCGACCCACAGUCGACAGCUGAAGUCACAACCUCCAUCUCUCCAGACUCCCACUGCUGGAUCCAGAAGCCA